ACAAACAGGGCAGUUCGGCUGCAAGGAGGUCAGGCAACAACAUUGCCUGGCUGGAGAGCUCCUAGUAUCAUCUGGAGGGCGGCUACAAAGAAGUUCAGUCUUGCCUGUCCAUGCUGAGUUGUUACUUGCAAUGUUUGAAUACACUGUUUUAUUUCUAUAAAGUGAGGGCUACAACAUUCAAGGAGUGCCUGUUUUCAAGCUUUUUUUCUCCAUAACCACAAGGUUGGAAAUGUUUCUUGUUUAUACUGAAAAGUUGAGAUUCCUACAAAAAAGUUUCAUAGUCUGGAGUCCUGUGUCAUGGGGAGAAGCCACAUAAGAUAGCAAAGACAUUGACUUUUUCAGAAUUGUACACAAAAACAUUACAAUCGGAAUAUUGGACUGAUCUCUUAUAAGCCCUUUCAAAAUGUUGUCAAAGGAAGUGAAGAAAUAUACCAGGAGCACCUCCUUUAAACACCUCCUCAUUGCAGUCCUUUUCUGAGUGCAUAUAUUAGCAGCGUGACCAUCCAUCAAAAGUGAAGAGAAAGACCCAAAGCCACAACUGCACUCUUACUGCACUCUUACUUAGCAUUUUGCAGGCCGUUGCCCAUCACAACACCAGGGGCACUAAGCACACCACUCCCAAAGUGGGCCAGGAGCUAUAGACCACAGUAUCUAAUACAUGGACAUGUGUUUGCCACACCUCAAUCUGUAACUCCACAUUUUUUUUUUCAUGGCUUGAUACCUCAAAAUGGCAUGCUUUUAAAAGGACUUCCUCAGCGUGGAUGAUUUCUUGCUGAAUCAGCUAGCCUUAUGGGGACUCAAUUUUUACAGCUGUCAGCCUUUCAUUCUAGAGAAGCCUCAAAAUAUUUAGCAAUGAAUCAAGCUCUAUGGUAACUUACUGGUAUUUUUUUUGCUGAAAUGAUAGUGUCGCUACAGCAGUAAUUCCCAUUUCCAUAACAAAAUUGUGCAUUACUUAUCCAGCUAUUUGAAAGACAGUAUUAAAGUGGAUCCAUUUUAUCAAUUUAUAUGUUCAUCCAUAAGUCCUCCUUUUUUUAAACAUAGCAUAUUUUAAAGAUAAUUGCCAUAUUAAAAUGUACCACUUUUGUUUCCCAGAAAGUGUCUAUGCCAAAACAAAAAAUAAUCCUCUCUAUUUAUUGGGAAUCAAUCUGUAAUCCUAUUGUGGGUUUGUAUGUUUUUGUUUUUUCAUUCCAUAAUAAAAACAAACCCCCCCCCCUGAAUAUCAGAUUCCAAAAUGUAGGCCUUACAAACUAUCUGUUUUUUCAUAUUUCAUUUUAGUCCAUCAAUACUCUAAAAUUGGUGCAAUAAAAGUAUUCUUCCUAAUAAUGUUUUCCAGUACAUGGGCCCAUAGGUACUAAUACUGCUGUUUCUAUACUGCAUUUAUUUACAUGAAUAGUUCCUUUGUUUUCAAUAGGACUCACUGCAUAUUAAUUCUGCUUUCCAUGAGAGAGAACUGCAAUGUCAGGCCUUUUAUUAAUUGCAAAUUCUCCCAAUAUGGAACCUCAAUCCUACAUGUGGCAAUGUUCCUAUCUAGA